AGAGUUGCCAUGGCCGGGGAGAUACCAUGAUCACGAAGGUGGUUUUCCCAGGGCGAGGCUUAUUCAUUGCACUCCAGAUGUGCUAUGGGAUUUCCCCAGACGCAGGAAACUCUACUGCAUAAUUUGUGGUAGUGGGGGACUGAGUUCGAGCUUUCCUCUG
ensembl:snRNA Gm22739 predicted gene, 22739